rnacentral:lncRNA from 1 species
GCCUCAUCUCCAGAUUCUGUACUUCCUUAUGUCUGCAAAGACCCUUUUGUCAAACGACGUCAGGAAGAGUGUAGUGACUUUUAAUAAGACAGAGCAUCAUGAAAGAAACCCCACAGACACAAAGGGAAAUGCUUACCUCAGAAACUGCCAGUGACAAACCUGUAUCUCACCUCCUUCUGGAUCAGAGUAUGCAGCCAGGAGCCGAAGGCCUGCUUUCAACAGCCAAAGGGUCCAAUGUACUCUGAAAAGUUUACCAACAUCGCCCCGUGGCUGCAGUGGUCUCCAGCCGUGCAGGGGAGUCGGCCAUCAGUGAGACCCCAACAAACGCACCCACCGUGAGAGGGAGGGAAACGGAGACAGCCUUCCAACAGCUCCACGGUAUUUCUGUAUCCAUCCUUGAUUCGCCAAUUCCACCACAAGAAAUCCAUCUUAAGGACAUGCUCAUUCACAAAGUUAAAUAUGUAUUCAUACAGAAACGUCCCUGCAGAAUCGCCUACUGUAGCAAACAGUUAGAGAACAUCAACGCCUCUCGAUAGAGGGCCAGUCGACCUUUAUGGAAUCUCAGAGAGAAAAUCUAAAUCGUGAGCCUGUGGCAAAUUCACACACAUCUAGGAUUUCCAGGGAGGAUAUUUGUC